UACGGGAGGCAGCAGUGGGGAAUAUUGCACAAUGGGCGAAAGCCUGAUGCAGCUAUGCCGCGUGUAUGAAGAAGGCCUUAGGGUUGUAAAGUACUUUCAUCGGGGAGGAAAAACAAAACUAAUAAUUUUAUUUCUUGACGUUACCCGAAAAAGAAGCACCGGCUAACUCCGUGCCAGCAGCCGCGGUAAUACGGAGGGUGCUAGCGUUAAUCAGAAUUACUGGGCGUAAAGAGCACGUAGGUGGUUUUUUUAAGUCAGAUGUGAAAUCCCUGGGCUUAACCUAGGAACUGCAUUUUGAAACUGAAAUACUAGAGUAUCGUAGAGGGAGGUAGAAUUCUAGGUGUAGCGGUGAAAUGCGUAGAUAUCUGGAGGAAUACCUGUGGCGAAAGCGGCCUCCUAAACCGAAUAACUGACACUGAGGUGCGAAAGACGUGGGGAGGCAAACAGGGAUUAGUAUACC
rnacentral:rRNA from 1 species